GAUGAACGCUGGCGGCGUGCCUAAUACAUGCAAGUCGAGCGAACAGACGAGGAGCUUGCUCCUCUGACGUUAGCGGCGGACGGGUGAGUAACACGUGGAUAACCUACCUAUAAGACUGGGAUAACUUCGGGAAACCGGAGCUAAUACCGGAUAACAUGUUGAACCGCAUGGUUCAACAGUGAAAGACGGUCUUUCUGUCACUUAUAGAUGGAUCCGCGCCGCAUUAGCUAGUUGGUAAGGUAACGGCUUACCAAGGCAACGAUGCGUAGCCGACCUGAGAGGGUGAUCGGCCACACUGGAACUGAGACACGGUCAAGACUCCUACGGGAGGCAGCAGUAGGGAAUCUUCCGCAAUGGGCGAAAGCCUGACGGAGCAACGCCGCGUGAGUGAAGAAGGUCUUCGGAUCGUAAAACUCUGUUAUUAGGGAAGAACAAAUGUGUAAGUAACUAUGCACGUCUUGACGGUACCUAAUCAGAAAGCCACGGCUAACUACGUG
rnacentral:rRNA from 1 species